rnacentral:rRNA from 1 species
AUUGAACGCUGGCGGCAGGCCUAACACAUGCAAGUCGAACGAGUGGCGGACGGGUGAGUAAUGUCGGGGAAACUGCCUGAUGGAGGGGGAUAACUACUGGAAACGGUAGCUAAUACCGCAUACCAUCGGAUGUGCCGAGGUGGGUUUAGGUUGUUGGUGGGGUAACGGCUCACCAAGGCGACGAUCCCUAGCUGGCCUGAGAUGGUGACCAGCCACACUGGAACUGAGACACGGCCCAGACUCCUACGGGAGGCAGCAGUGGGGAAUCUUGCACAAUGGGCGCAAGCCUGAUGGAGCAAUGCCGCGUGUAUGAAGAAGGCCUUCGGGUUGUAAAGUACUUUCAGCGGGGAGGCGUUACCCGCCGAAGAAGCACCGGCUAACUCCGUGCCAGCAGCCGCGGUAAUUC